ACAGGCAGAAAUAACCGUCCAGAAGGAAGAAAAAGGGCUGAAAUCCAUAUCCACUCAGCCAGAUCUGCAGAAAACCUGGGAGGAAUUAGAAAAUCUAAAAGAGAAAUUCACCAGGCUGCAGGACGAGUAUAUGAAUACACGGAGCACCAACAAGUUGCUGGAAGAGAAACUUCAGAUUAUUGCUCAGAGCAUGGCCGACGAGAGGCUGAAUUUGAACCAGCGGAUCAAUGAGCUACUGGAGCGACUUCUCAGCGCACAAGACACCAUUUCCACCUUGGAGAAA